UACGUAGGGUGCAAGCGUUGUCCGGAAUUAUUGGGCGUAAAGAGCUCGUAGGUGGCCUGUCGCGUCGGCUGUGAAAACCCGAGGCUCAACCUCGGGCCUGCAGUGGGUACGGGCAGACUAGAGUGCGGUAGGGGAGAUUGGAAUUCCUGGUGUAGCGGUGGAAUGCGCAGAUAUCAGGAGGAACACCGGUGGCGAAGGCGGUUCUCUGGGCCUGUACUGACGCUGAGGAGCGAAAGCGUGGGGAGCGAACAGG
rnacentral:rRNA from 1 species